GAGUAGGUUAGGUAAUCGCUGUUCUCCAUUUGUGAGAAUGGAGGAAAGUCCGGGCUCCAGAGGGCAGGGUGCUCCGUAACACGGAGGAGGGGCGACCCUAUGGAAAGUGCAACAGAAAAUAUACCGCCCCGAGUUGUGUGCGGGGUAAGGGUGAAAAAGCGAGGUAAGAGCUCACUGCUUUCCUUGGUGACAGGGGAAGUUGGUAAACCCCACCUGGAGCAAGGCCAAAUAGAGAAGCGUUUGAGGGUGGCCCGCCCGAGGCUUCCGGGUUAGGCCGCUUAAGCCUGACGGCAACGCCAGGCCCAGAUAAAUGAUUACCAUCUCAUUAGAGAGACAGAACCCGGCUUAUUAUCUGCU
rnacentral:RNase_P_RNA from 1 species